CUGGCUCAGGAUGAACGCUGGCGGCGUGCCUAACACAUGCAAGUCGAACGAGCGGAGAGGAGCUUGCUCCUCAAAGCUAGUGGCGGACGGGUGAGUAACGCGUGGAUAACCUACCCUGUACAGGGGAAUAACAGUUAGAAAUGACUGCUAAUGCCGCAUAAGCGCACACUGCCGCAUGGCAGAGUGUGAAAAGCCGAGACGGUACAGGAUGGAUCCGCGUCUGAUUAGCUAGUUGGUGAGGUAACGGCCCACCAAGGCGACGAUCAGUAGCCGACUUGAGAGAGUGACCGGCCACAUUGGGACUGAGACACGGCCCAAACUCCUACGGGAGGCAGCAGUGGGGAAUAUUGCACAAUGGGGGAAACCCUGAUGCAGCCAACGCCGCGUGAGUGAAGAAGUAUUUCGGUAUGUAAAGCUCUAUCAGCAGGGAAGAUAAUGACGGUACCUGACUAAGAAGCCCCGGCUAACUACGUGCCAGCAGCAGC
rnacentral:rRNA from 1 species